rnacentral:tRNA from 1 species
GUGGCUUAGUUGGUAAAGCGCUCGUCUAGCAUACAAGAGUCCUGGGUUCAAAUCCCAGC